AAUAUUUCGCAAUGGGGGAAACCCUGACGCAGCAACGCCGCGUGAGCGAGGAAGGCCUUCGGGUCGUAAAGCUCUGUCUAGAGGGAUGAAACAUGACAGUACCUCUGGAGGAAGCCCCGGCUAACUACGUGCCAGCAGCCGCGGUAAUACGUAGGGGGCAAGCGUUGUCCGGAUUUACUGGGCGUAAAGGGCGCGUAGGCGGUAGUAUAAGUCAGAUGUGAAAGUCCAGGGCUCAACCGUGGAAUUGCAUUUGAAACUGUGCUACUUGAGUGCAGGAGAGGAGAGCGGAAUUCCUAGUGUAGCGGUGAAAUGCGUAGAUAUCGGGAGGAACACCAGUGGCGAAGGCGACUACCUGGACGACAACUGACGCUGAGGCACGAAAGCUAGGGGAGCAAAC
rnacentral:rRNA from 1 species